CCUACGGGUGGCAGCAGUGGGGAAUAUUGGACAAUGGGCGAAAGCCUGAUCCAGCCAUGCCGCGUGUGUGAAGAAGGCCUUCGGGUUGUAAAGCACUUUCAGUGGGGAAGAAAGCCUUGGGGCUAAUACCCUCGAGGAAGGACAUCACCCACAGAAGAAGCACCGGCUAACUCCGUGCCAGCAGCCGCGGUAAUACGGAGGGUGCGAGCGUUAAUCGGAAUUACUGGGCGUAAAGCGCGCGUAGGCGGUCUGAUAAGCCGGUUGUGAAAGCCCCGGGCUCAACCUGGGAACGGCAUCCGGAACUGUCAGGCUAGAGUGCAGGAGAGGAAGGUAGAAUUCCCGGUGUAGCGGUGAAAUGCGUAGAGAUCGGGUGGAAUACCAGUGGCGAAGGCGGCCUUCUGGACUGACACUGACGCUGAGGUGCGAAAGCGUGGGUAGCAAACAGGAUUAGAUACCCUAGUAGUC
rnacentral:rRNA from 1 species